GGAAGCCGCGCGCAGCAGAGCCAGGCGAGUGUGCGGCGGCCAGGUUAGUGCGGAGGGUGGGUGGGCUCCCUCGGUGCAGCCCCAGCAAAGCGAGAGAUCUGGCUUCCCGAGGGCGAGCACCGCGCGGUGGUGACACGCGAUUGCUGGCCAGUUAGUGGCAGCGGCCGGUCGGACUGUUUUGGUGGGAGGUACGAGGGACUUCGGACCUCCACCUUCUCUGGUUUUUUGUCCCAACUAAGGGUUUCUGGUGGGUGUCAGGGCCCUGCGGAGGAGGGGAUAUGGCUGCAGGGCUGGCCGGGAACGGUUCUGAGAACCCUCUUCCUGUCUGAGCCCAGUCGUGCGCGAACCCCCAGUUUGAAGGUGGGGUAGUGGGCAGACUGGGAACCUUCCUAGGCCAGGUCGCUUACUGCGCACCCGAGCAGGGGGCGUGUUCUGAUGGUCUGGGAAUCUCAAACUUUCUUUGAGUUGGGAGCCAAGCCCUUCCACCUAGCCAGAAGUGGGGCUACCUGGGGACUGUUAUUUGUUAAUGAGACCGGACAUCUGGGUAGAGUCAUUUGUUCUGGAACCCAGCGUAGAAGCCUCCUGGUGGAAGGAGGCCUGAGAAGGAUUCUUUUUUCAUUUUGGUUUUCCGAGACGGGGUUUCUCUGUGUACCCCUGGCUGUCCUGGAACGCACUCUGUAGUGCCAGGCUGGCCUCGAACUCACAGAGAUCUGCCUGUCUCUGCUUCCUGAGUGCUGGGAUUAAAGGGGUGCACCACCACCACUCGGUUUGGAAACGAAUUUUUUUUUUUAAAAGACACACACACACACACACACACACACACACACACACACACACACACACACACGAGAUUCAGAUGCACCAGAAGAGGGCAUCGGUUCCCAUUACAAAUGGUCGUGAGCCAUCAUGUGGAUGCUGAGAAUUCAGGACCUCUGAAGAGCAGUCAGUGCUCUUAUCUGCUGAGGGAAGGAUUCCUAAGGGGACAGUGAGAAACCAGUUCCCUCCAUCUUGUCUGUUCUAUUAACCUCACUUCUCCAACUCCGCGAACUCCAAGGCGGCUAUUUCCCCUAUUUGCCCAGUACUAGUGAAUUUACAUAUCGAUUACUCUGCCAUCUCCAGCUCUACCGCACUUGUGCUGACAGGCCUGGUGGAUAGUACCCCGACACACACCAGUACAGUUCCAAAUCUUCUCCUACCCCUUGGGAUGGGAUCACAUCCAUGGGAUAGAAGGGUAGGAAAGUGAACUAGAUGUUUCAUGAAUCACGAGCUACUUCUUAGACGUCCUUGCUUGUUUUAUACCUCGGUAGCUGAAGAGUUACAUCGUGAUGUUUUUGCCUUACUUUUUACUAAAGACAUUUAUGGGCUGGGGUGGGGCUCAGUGGCUGAGAACUACCGUACACCUGGCUCAGGGUUCAAUCCCAAGUACGGAAGUCACUGGAGCCCUGCCCUGUAGAACUUCCUGGUGUUCUUGCUCUUGGUUCCUGAGGGCUGAGGUUACAGAUAGGAUGCCAUCACCUCAAGUUCUCUCCUUUUCUUUUUUGGCUUUUUGAGCCAGGAUCUUACUCUGUAGACCAGGCUGCCCCCUCAAACUCAGAGAUUUGACUGCCUCUGCCUCCCGAAUACUGGGAUUAAAGGAAUAUUUCAUUUACAAUCCACCUCCUCUGCUUUUUUUUUUUUUCCUUUUUGAGACAGGGUUUGUCUGUGUAGCCCUGGCUGUCCUGGAACUCACUCUGUAGACCAGGCUAGCCUCAAACUCAGAAACCCACCUUCCUCUGCCUCCCAAGUGCUGGGAUUAAAGAAGGUGUGUGCCACCACCGCCCAGCGACUCUUUCUUUCUUUCUUUCUUUCUUUCUUUCUUUCUUUCUUUCUUUCUUUCCUUCCUUCCUUCCUUCCUUCCUUCCUUCCUUUCUCUCUCUCUCUCUCUCUCUCUCUCUCUCUCUCUCUCUCUCUCUCUCUUUCUUUCUUUCAUUCUUGUUAUUUGAGACAGGGUUUCUCUGUGUAGCUUUGGCUGUCCUGGAACUCACUCUGUAGACCAGGCUGGCCUCGAACUUAGAAAUCCACCUGCCUCUGCCUCCCGAAUAAGAAACAUGUCUCUUAUAUAUAAAGUAGGAGAUAUUGCUUAAUACAAAGAAAAUUAAAACCAUCCCAACCUGCCCAGAGAUAGACAAUAAUUUUCAGACUGUUUUAGUAAAUAUAUGUAUAUUAGUAUUAAAUUUUCUGAUGGAAGAGGAGUUUCAAAAAUCUAUGUUCCUUAGCUGGGCAGUGUUGAUGCACGCCUUUAAUCCCAGCACUUGGGAGAAAGAGGCAGUGGAUCUCUUGAGUCUGAGGAUAGCC
rnacentral:lncRNA from 1 species